rnacentral:rRNA from 1 species
GAUGAACGCUGGCGGCGUGCCUAAUACAUGCAAGUCGAGCGAACAGACGAGGAGCUUGCUCCUCUGACGUUAGCGGCGGACGGGUGAGUAACACGUGGAUAACCUACCUAUAAGACUGGGAUAACUUCGGGAAACCGGAGCUAAUACCGGAUAAUAUAUUGAACCGCAUGGUUCAAUAGUGAAAGACGGUUUUGCUGUCACUUAUAGAUGGAUCCGCGCCGCAUUAGCUAGUUGGUAAGGUAACGGCUUACCAAGGCAACGAUGCGUAGCCGACCUGAGAGGGUGAUCGGCCACACUAGAACUGAGACACGGUCCAGACUCCUACGGGAGGCAGCAGUAGGGAAUCUUCCGCAAUGGGCGAAAGCCUUACGGAGCAACGCCGCGUGAGUGAUGAAGGUCUUCGGAUCGUAAAACUCUGUUAUGAGGGAAGAACAAAUGUGUAAGUAACUAUGCACGUCUUGACGGUACCUAAUCAGAAAGCCACGGCUAACUACGUG